CCAAAGGCUCUUUUCAGAGCCACCACUGGUCUCUGGAGGAAGAGCU
rfam:Cavia porcellus supercont2_38 genomic scaffold, whole genome shotgun sequence.